ACUUUGGUCUUAGUAUAAGUCUAGCCGAGUUUUUGAUUGGAAAGGAGCAAUAACCAACACUCUUGAUAGAAAAAGAAAUUGGUUAUUGUUCCUUUAUUUAGUGCUCUUUUCUUUACAUAAGUUUUUCUUUACUUCAACAUAAGAAAAAGUAUUCUAGUCUUAGGGAUUGCUUUAUGAUUGCUUAUCAUACUUUUUUCCUUAGAUAUGAAUUUAUAUACAUUCUUUUCAACCCUUUGUAAGGCUUUGUAAGAUUAUUAUCUUCUAGUUUUUUUUUUCAAAUAAAAUAAAAAGGUUAUAAUUUUCUGCUUCUUCUAUCUCAUAAUUAARAUARAAAAAUGUGAAAAAUUCMCAAUCGAAUGAAAUAUUUUCCCUUAUGAAUUUUCUUUUUUUGAUUUCMUUAAAAAUGGAAUAUUCUUUUUUUAAA
rnacentral:misc_RNA from 1 species